rnacentral:misc_RNA from 1 species
GUGAAUCAUCAAAUUUUUGAACGCAAAUUGCACUCUCUUCGGAGAGUAUGCCUGUUUGAGGGUCAGCGUAUAAAAAAUCUUCAUCGUUGGUGUUGCGUGGGGGGUUUCGUCGGAUAUUGGGUCAUCUUAAAUCUUUUGGUUUUCGGCGACUUAAAAUCUUUUUUUUGGUUAACUGAACGUU